rnacentral:rRNA from 1 species
ACUGGCGGACGGGUGAGUAACACGUAAGUAAUCUACCUUCGAGUGGGGAAUAACAUCGGGAAACCGAUGCUAAUACCGCAUAACGCAGCGGCACCUAAUGGUGACAGUUGUUAAAGGAGCAAUUCGCUUGAAGAGGAGCUUGCGGCAGAUUAGCUAGUUGGUAAGGUAAUGGCUUACCAAGGCUUCGAUCUGUAUCCGGUCUAAGAGGACGGUCGGACACACUGACACUGAAUAACGGGUCAGACUCCUACGGGAGGCAGCAGUAGGGAAUCUUGCGCAAUGGGCGAAAGCCUGACGCAGCGACGCCGCGUGAGGGAAGAAGGCCUUCGGGUUGUAAACCUCUUUCAGGAGGGACGAAGCCACUCGGGUUAAUAGCCCAGAGGGUGACGGUACCUCCAGAAGAAGCCCCGGCUAACUACGUGCCAGCAGCCGCGGUAAUACG